UACGUAGGGUGCAAGCGUUGUCCGGAAUUAUUGGGCGUAAAGAGCUCGUAGGCGGUCUGUCGCGUCGGAUGUGAAAAUCCAGGGCUCAACCCUGGACCUGCAUUCGAUACGGGCAGACUAGAGUUCGGUAGGGGAUCACGGAAUUCCUGGUGUAGCGGUGAAAUGCGCAGAUAUCAGGAGGAACACCGGUGGCGAAGGCGGUGAUCUGGGCCGACACUGACGCUGUAGAGCGAAAGCGUGGGGAGCGAACAGG
rnacentral:rRNA from 1 species